AGUAUGCUUGGAUUUUGUAUCAGACUAUUAAAAGAGGCUUACUCUUAAAUGAUCUUUCUUUGGCGCAUAGGUCCUCCCCAGUAUCGGUAGAGUCAUGGUGUAUUAACAGGGAACAUGAAGAUACUACAAGAUACUACAACCAAGAGAGUAAAACCCUAACAAGUUUAUAGCACUGGAAUGAGACUGAGCUAGGAAGAGCUCAAAAGAAAAUCCCUUUCAUGUGAAAUCAUCAAAAAACAGUCGCUGAACUUGUGAACAUGUAGGGCUUCAGAGCACAUCUGGAUAUCUUCACCAAAAAAAUUGAAAUGACUGCACCCUCCGGAUGGACCCUGAGCUUGGUUUAUCGGUUGCUUUGCUUGGGACUGCCAAUGGACCCUAAUGUGUUCAGACCCUGUGAGACAGCACCCAUCAGUAAAGGCACCAAGGAGGAUUCCAGCUUCUUUUCCCUCGUGGAGCAGCCCCACCCUUGCUGCUUCCUGACAUUCUUAGAUCAUGUCUGGAGGUUAAACAG